CCUACGGGAGGCAGCAGUGGGGAAUAUUGGGCAAUGGAGGCAACUCUGACCCAGCAACGCCGCGUGAAUGAUGAAGGUCUUCGGAUUGUAAAGUUCUUUUCUAAGGGAAGAAGAAAGUGACGGUACCUUAGGAAUAAGCCUCGGCUAACUACGUGCCAGCAGCCGCGGUAAUACGUAGGAGGCAAGCGUUAUCCGGAAUGACUGGGCGUAAAGGGUGCGUAGGUGGUUUGACAAGUUAGUAGCGCAACUCCGGAGCUCAACUUCGGAACUACUACUAAAACUGUUGGACUUGAGUGGGCGAGAAGUAUGCGGAAUGCGUGGUGUAGCGGUGAAAUGCAUAGAUAUCACGCAGAACUCCGAUUGCGAAGGCAGCAUACCGGCGCCCAACUGACGCUGAAGCACGAAAGCGUGGGUAUCGAACAGGAUUAGAUACCCGAGUAGUC
rnacentral:rRNA from 1 species